ACGGGAGGCAGCAGUGAGGAAUAUUGGUCAAUGGGCGGAAGCCUGAACCAGCCAAGUCGCGUGAAGGAUGAAGGUAUUAUGUAUUGUAAACUUCUUUAGACGCAGGGAAAUAAGCGGGUCGUGACCCGUGAUGCUAGUAUGCGUAGAAUAAGGAUCGGCUAAUUCCGUGCCAGCAGCCGCGGUAAUACGGAAGGUCCGGGCGUUAUCCGGAUUUAUUGGGUUUAAAGGGAGCGUAGGCUGUAUUUUAAGCGUGUUGUGAAAUGUAGGCGCUCAACGUCUGCACUGCAGCGCGAACUGGAGUACUUGAGUGCGCAGGAAGUUGGCGGAAUUCGUCGUGUAGCGGUGAAAUGCUUAGAUAUGACGAAGAACUCCGAUUGCGAAGGCAGCUGACUGUAGCGUUACUGACGCUGAAGCUCGAAAGUGCGGGUAUCGAACAGGAUUAGAUACCCUGGUA
rnacentral:rRNA from 1 species